CAUGCAGUCGAGCGGAACGAGUUAUCAGAACCUUCGGGGGACGAUAACGGCGUCGAGCGGCGGACGGGUGAGUAAUGCCUAGGAAAUUGCCCUGAUGUGGGGGAUAACCAUUGGAAACGAUGGCUAAUACCGCAUGAUGCCUACGGGCCAAAGAGGGGGACCUUCGGGCCUCUCGCGUCAGGAUAUGCCUAGGUGGGAUUAGCUAGUUGGUGAGGUAAGGGCUCACCAAGGCGACGAUCCCUAGCUGGUCUGAGAGGAUGAUCAGCCACACUGGAACUGAGACACGGUCCAGACUCCUACGGGAGGCAGCAGUGGGGAAUAUUGCACAAUGGGCGCAAGCCUGAUGCAGCCAUGCCGCGUGUGUGAAGAAGGCCUUCGGGUUGUAAAGCACUUUCAGUCGUGAGGAAGGUAGUGUAGUUAAUAGCUGCAUUAUUUGACGUUAGCGACAGAAGAAGCACCGGCUAACUCCGUGCCAGCAGCCGCGGUAAUACGGAGGGUGCGAGCGUUAAUCGGAAUUACUGGGCGUAAAGCGCAUGCAGGUGGUUUGUUAAGUCAGAUGUGAAAGCCCGGGGCUCAACCUCGGAAUUGCAUUUGAAACUGGCAGACUAGAGUACUGUAGAGGGGGGUAGAAUUUCAGGUGUAGCGGUGAAAUGCGUAGAGAUCUGAAGGAAUACCGGUGGCGAAGGCGGCCCCCUGGACAGAUACUGACACUCAGAUGCGAAAGCGUGGGGAGCAAACAGGAUUAGAUACCCUGGUAGUCCACGCCGUAAACGAUGUCUACUUGGAGGUUGUGGCCUUGAGCCGUGGCUUUCGGAGCUAACGCGUUAAGUAGACCGCCUGGGGAGUACGGUCGCAAGAUNAAACUCAAAUGAAUUGACGGGGGCCGCACAAGCGGNGGAGCAUGUGGUUAAUUCGAUGCA
rnacentral:rRNA from 1 species